GGGGAGAGAGAAGAAAAAUAACAAGCAGAGUACACGUAGCAGCUGCAGCUCUUGAGCUUUCUCUCGCUCCUGAGUGCAGUCUCUCUCUCUGCGCCCUGCGCUCUGCGCCGCCGCCAUGGAGGACGACGAUGACUGCCCUCCUCUCGCCGUUGAGCUCCCUCCGCGGGUGCCGUCCCCUCCAGAGCAAUCUCCCUCAGACGCCUCGCCAGUUGGCAUCACCGUCAUCACCGGCUACCUCGGGGCUGGCAAGUCGACGCUAGUCAACUACAUUCUGAAUGAGCAACAUGGGAAGAGAAUUGCCGUGAUACUAAAUGAGUUUGGAGAGGAAAUUGGGGUCGAGAGGGCGAUGAUCAAUGAGGGGCAAGGUGGUGCACUUAUCGAGGAAUGGGUGGAGCUGGCCAAUGGAUGUGUCUGUUGCUCUGUAAAACACAGUCUGGUUCAAGCACUUGAGCAGCUUGUGCAGAGAAAGGAUAGAAUGGAUCAUAUAUUACUUGAGACAACAGGGUUGGCCGAUCCUGCUCCACUUGUUUCUGUUCUUUGGCUAGACGAUCAAUUGGAGUCGUCAAUUGUGCUGGAUUCUAUUAUUACGGUUAUUGAUGCAAAAAACUUCAGGGUUCAGAUUGACGAGCACAAAAACUCUUCCUCAUUCCCUGAAGCAUUUCAUCAAAUUGCAUUUGCGGAUGUUGUGAUAUUGAACAAAAUUGACCUAGUGGAAGACAGUCUUGAGGAUCUGGAAAAACAUAUUCGUGAUGUGAAUGCUCUGGUUACAGUGGUGCGGUCCGUCCGUUGCCAGGUUGACUUGAAUGAAGUAUUUAACCGGCAAGCAUAUGGUGCCAAGAAUUCAUCUCAUCUGCAAGAACUGCUGGACUAUAGUAAAUCAGUGCCACCUAGUCGCCGUCAUGAUAACAGUAUUUCCACCUUGUGCAUCUAUGAACAGGAUUCUGUUAACUUGGCUAAGGUGGAGUCUUGGCUUGAAGAUCUUCUUUGGGAAAAGAAAUCUAUUAUGGACAUAUAUCGCUGUAAAGGGAUUUUAUAUAUCCAUGAUUCAGACCAAGUUCAUACAUUACAGGGAUUGUCAGUACUGAUGUCUGAUUUUGCCCUUAUGCAGGCAGUGAGGGAGGUCUAUGAAGUUGUGCCGGCUCGAAAAUGGUCUGAGACAGAGUCUCGCAUGAACAAGAUAGUUGUCAUAGGCCGCAAUCUGGAUAUCAAUGUACUUCAAGAUUCUUUUAGUGGUUGCAAGAGCUGAUAAUGAGUAUCUGUUUGCCUUGCACAAUGUUAGUUGGCCAUUUUUCUGUGAGGUACCUCUGUGCAAGUGAAUACUGAAUUGGAGGAGAAUCUUAGGUAGGGAAUAUAGAUAACAGGCGCUCCAUAUAUAAACUUCGUUAUUAGGUGCUGUAUGGACUAUGGUUCACAUAUUUGUAACUUGAACGGUAACCGAUAAUGUUAAAACAUGUUUGUUUAAGUCCAACCGUAAUCAGAUACCACACUACUAGAAACUGAUAUCAUCCUAAAUCAUUAUUGUUGCAA